UUGAUCCAACCUGCGAAGUAGACUCACCUGCACAUGGCGCCUCCCUGACAGUCAAAUGACCUCCUGAGUCUGUUUUAAGUUCUACAAACCUGCUACACGUUGAAUUAGUUGCAUGAUGACAAAGUUACAUGAAGUGUAAUCAAAAUGUUCAUAUAAGACAGUUUGUCCCACGUGGCGUCCAGUGUAAGAGGUUGAAAUUGCAUCUGACAUCUUUCCUGUUUCCUCACUAGUGCAGGUAGAAAAGCUUCUUUUGAGCCUCACUCUGAAACCAGCUGACACGCCAAGCGAGAAGGACAAUAUCCUGGAGGUGUUUGCACAGCUACAAGAAAAGAGUUUGGUGGAAAGGUUUGAGAAGCUGAAGUCUGCUGUUUAUGGCUGUUUGGGCCAUAAAAACGCUGACAUCAUCAAACCAGGCUGCGAACAGCCGCUGACCCGACAAUGGCAGAGCGGUUUUAUAGACGCUUUGUCAUCCAGACUGAAGACCUGAACACAGAGACACAUUUAAUCCUUCAAGUCAAGCCUGCAGAUUAACAUCCCCAUCUCUUCAGCUGUCUUCUUUGUCCUUCUGAUUUUUGUCUCUUUUAUUUUGAAGGUGGCGUUCACUGAAACCUUGUUUUUUGCAGUAAUCACAUGUUCUCCUCCCUGAUCUAUGCGAGCAAACCCUCUUAGAAAACUAAAAUAUUCAUUCAAUUAAGACCGCUGUUUUUAUCUCUUGCAUUUUUGAAACUAAAGUUCUGAAAUUGUUUGUUAUUAAUCAUUUAUUUGAUAAUCUGAAAAUAUUACAAAUUAAUGAUUUAAGUCACUCAAAGAAGAGAUUCAGCAAACUCUCUCUGCUGUGUUCCUCUUUAACUACAAAAAUAAACCUCUUAAUUUUU